rnacentral:rRNA from 1 species
ACCCCCUCGUACCUUUUGCAUCAUGAGUUAACAAGCAUUUGUUACGCGUAACGUUCUUGAGCUUCAAACCCCGAAAUUAAGUGAGCUACCCCAGGACAGCCUAAUGAUUAGGGCCAACCCGUCUCUGUGGCAAAAGAGUGGGAAGAGCCUUGGGUAGAGGUGAAAAGCCUACCGAACUUAAUUAUAGCUGGUUGCCCGUGAAAUGAAUAUAAGUUCAGCCCCCCAGAUUCUACCUAAGCUGAGGGAGUAAUUCAAAGGGGGUACAGCCCCUUUGAAGCAGGACACAACCUUUUUAGGAGGGUAAAGAUUAUACUUUGUAAGGAAGAAGUGUGUCCCGGUAGGACUAGAAGCACCCACCCGAUAAGAAAGCGUUACAGCUCGAACACACUAUCCCAAUAUUUUUAUCUCACACCCCUUCUCCACACCGGGCCAUCCGAUUCUUCAUUCGGAGUGAUAAUGUUAACAUAAGUAAUAAGAAAAAUUUUCUCCUGCGCACAUGUGUAAAUCGAAAUGGACCAACCACCGACUAUUAACGAACUCAACUAAAAGAGAGAAAUGAGAGACAACCAGAAAACCCCUCACCGUUAAACCCACACUGGAGUGCCCGCUAGGAAUGACUAAAAGAUGAGAGAAGGAACUCGGCAAACAAGCCCCGCCUGUUUACCAAAAACAUCGCCUCUUGCAAGUAUAAGAGGUCGCGCCUGCCCAGUGACAUUAGUUAAACGGCCGCAGUAUUUUGACUGUGCUAAGGUAGCGUAAUCACUUGUCUUUUAAAUGAAGACCUGUAUGAAAGGUAUGACGAGGGCUUAACUGUCUCCUCUUUCCAGCCAAUGAAAUUGAUCUCCCCGUGCAGAAGCGGGGAUACGCACAUAAGACGAGAAGACCCUAUGGAGCUUUAGACAACAGGACAGACCACGUUAAAAAUGCUUUCAAGCCGCAAACAAAUGGGCACUGUUCAAAUGUCUUCGGUUGGGGCGACCCUGGGGAAAGCAAAACCCCCACGUGGACUAGGAGCACUCCCCGAAAUCAGAGACACCUCUCUAAUUAACAGAACUUCUGACCAGUCUGAUCCGGCUAGCCGAUCAACGGACCAAGUUACCCUAGGGAUAACAGCGCAAUCCCCUUCAAGAGCCCUUAUCGCCAAGGGGGUUUACGACCUCGAUGUUGGAUCAGGACAUCCCAAUGGUGCAA